rnacentral:lncRNA from 1 species
GCGUCUUUCCAGCCAGGCUUCGCCGGAGUUGGAAUCGCUUUAAAUGGUCGGGCAGCCGGCACAGGACCCCCUUGUGGGUUAGUAGAGAGGCUCGGUGUGCACAGCCCUGAAGACCACCUUGCCCUGUGGGAAAGGGGACUCCACCUAUGAUUAUGUCCCCUGCUAGUAUGGAUCUCCGGCUCAGCCAGGAUGCUCCAGAGACAAACUGCCCUCGGCUCCAUUGUGACACAGGCUCUAUGUCUCCGUCCUGGGUGGUUAGUUAUAUGUCAGAAAUCCCUUCAUCAGCUGCAAACUCACACCCGUGCACGUCAUCUCCAGUCCUCCACGCGCUUGGAAUUCACACUUCAGCAGGGUCCCCGUGAGAGUGAGCGCCAAGCACAGCCGUGAGACUGAAGCGGUCCUGGGUCACCAGAGCAAAAUUCUCUGCAUCAAGAGGGAGAGACUCGAUUCCUCCAACACGGAAGGGAAAGGGAGUUCUUCUGAGGAAGAGAGAGGCAAACACUGGCCCAGCAUGCAAGGACCCUUGGGCAGUGGCCUCACCUCCCCGUUUUGCAGAAGGAAAUGUCUGGGCAUGAGCCUGUGCAUUCUCUUUCCCCAGACUUGUAGUAUCUGGGAGGUCUCAAGAGACCUAGAGUGAGCCCAUGGCAGGCACAGAUGAACAGCUCUACCAGGCAGGCCCAGCCAUUGCAAGGUGGGUAGGAAUUCCACACCAUCACUCUCACUGCAAGAGCCCAAUCUUUGAAGAGCUUCAGGGUCUCUGUAAAAGGAGGCUGGUGGGCUCUGGAGGCUGCCCUCAGUAAGGUCUUU